UACGGGGGGGGGCAAGCGUUGUUCGGAAUUACUGGGCGUAAAGGGCGCGUAGGCGGCGUGUCAAGUCAGGCGUGAAAGCCCCGGGCUCAACCUGGGAACCGCGCUUGAGACUGGCAUGCUCGAGUUCGGGAGAGGAUGGUGGAAUUCCCAGUGUAGAGGUGAAAUUCGUAGAUAUUGGGAAGAACACCGAUGGCGAAGGCAGCCAUCUGGACCGACACUGACGCUGAGGCGCGAAAGCGUGGGGAGCAAACAGG
rnacentral:rRNA from 1 species